GACGAACGCUGGCGGCGUGCUUAACACAUGCAAGUCGAACGGAAAGGCCCUGCUUUUGUGGGGUGCUCGAGUGGCGAACGGGUGAGUAACACGUGAGCAACCUGCCCUUGACUUUGGGAUAACUUCAGGAAACUGGGGCUAAUACCGGAUAGGAGCUCCUGCUGCAUGGUGGGGGUUGGAAAGUUUCGGCGGUUGGGGAUGGACUCGCGGCUUAUCAGCUUGUUGGUGGGGUAGUGGCUUACCAAGGCUUUGACGGGUAGCCGGCCUGAGAGGGUGACCGGCCACAUUGGGACUGAGAUACGGCCCAGACUGCUACGGGAGGCAGCAGUGGGGAAUAUUGCACAAUGGGCGGAAGCCUGAUGCAGCAACGCCGCGUGCGGGAUGACGGCCUUCGGGUUGUAAACCGAUUUCGCCUGUGACGAAGAGUGAGUGACGGUAAUGGGUAAAGAAGCACCGGCUAACUACGUG
rnacentral:rRNA from 1 species